rnacentral:rRNA from 1 species
UACGGAGGGUGCAAGCGUUAAUCGGAAUUACUGGGCGUAAAGCGCGCGUAGGCGGUUGAGUCAGUCAGAUGUGAAAGCCCCGGGCUUAACCUGGGAACUGCAUUUGAUACUGCUCGACUAGAGUGUGGUAGAGGGUAGUGGAAUUCCCGGUGUAGCAGUGAAAUGCGUAGAUAUCGGGAGGAACACCAGUGGCGAAGGCGGCUACCUGGACCAACACUGACGCUGAGGUGCGAAAGCGUGGGGAGCAAACAGG